GUGUCCCUCUGAUAAGAUUGCCUAAACUAGGUCAGUGCGCAUCACAUAAUAAAUCAUCCCAUUCUUUCCCUGUCCCCUGACUAACACUCCUGUACAAAAAUGUUGCAAGGGCUUUUCUCCUACAUCUUUCUCCUCAUGUCCUUGAGUUACAAGUAAAUAGCUGCAGAGUCUCAGCUCGGGGCUGAUUCCCUGAGGCUCUCUUCUGCUGAGGAAGCAGCCCCGCUGGAUUGUCACUGAUUGAACUAAAUCUCAUCUCCAAGUGAUCUUUUUCAUCCUCUGUGCUUCACGGUUGCAGACUAUGACACAGUCCCACUGCGUGGCGGGUGGACAAAUGGUGACGAGAAGGAAUAGGAACCAGGCUUUGUAAUUUCAGAAAUCUCAUUGGAAGAGGUUGGAAGGAGUUACCUAGAGGCCUUGUCUUGAGGUAAAGAGAUAAAAUUGACGUGAUAUUUUUUAUGUUGGCUGCA
rnacentral:lncRNA from 1 species